GACAGAGGGGGCGAGCGUUGUCCGGAGUCACUGGGCGUAAAGCGCGCGCAGGCGGCAACCUUAGUGUCGUGUGAAAGCCCCCGGCUCAACCGGGGGAGGCCAUGGCAAACUGGGUCGCUCGAGCUGCGGAGAGGCCCCUCGAAUUGCCGGUGUAGCGGUGAAAUGCGUAGAGAUCGGCAGGAAGACCAAGGGGGAAGCCAGGGGGUUGGCCGCAGGCUGACGCUGAGGUGCGACAGCGUGGGGAGCAAACCGG
rnacentral:rRNA from 1 species